UCAUGGGUAUCGAAUGGCGGUGAUUCGCCAUGAGAGGGAACCCGGUGAGAAUCCGGGACUGUCCCGCAGCGGUAAGCAGGAACGACCGCCGUCAUCCGCACUGGUUCAUCUCGAAUUGGGAAGCGACGGCCACUAGGGCGUGUCUCCCGAAUGUGAGGGUGUUAUCGGCGACGAUUGAUCGGUGACACGGAUGGAUGUGAUUUCUGACGAGUUCUGGGCUGUCGUGGAACCCUUGAUGCCCUCGCAUGAAGGCAAGCGG
rnacentral:ncRNA from 17 species